rnacentral:rRNA from 1 species
AAUAGAUACCCGGGUAGCCCACGCCGUAAACGAUGAGUGCUAGGUGUUAGGGGGGUCCAACCCCUUAGUGCUGAAGUUAACACAUUAAGCACUCCGCCUGGGGAGUACGACCGCAAGGUUGAAACUCAAAGGAAUUGACGGGGGGCCCGCACAAGCAGUGGAGCAUGUGGUUUAAUUCGAAGCAACGCGAAGAACCUUACCAGGUCUUGACAUCCUCUGACAACCCUAGAGAUAGGGCGUUCCCCGUUCGGGGGACAGAGUGACAGGUGGUGCAUGGUUGUCGUCAGCUCGUGUCGUGAGAUGUUGGGUUAAGUCCCGCAACGAGCGCAACCCUUGAUGUUAGUUGCCAGCAUUAAGUUGGGCACUCUAACGUGACUGCCGGUGACAAACCGGAGGAAGGUGGGGAUGACGUCAAAUCAUCAUGCCCCUUAUGACCUGGGCUACACACGUGCUACAAUGGGGCGGCACAAAGGGCAGCGAAACCGCGAGGUCGAGCGAAUCCCAUAAAGCCGCUCUCAGUUCGGAUUGCAGGCUGCAACUCCG